rnacentral:rRNA from 1 species
ACAGCAGUAGCCGCGGUAAUACGGAGGGGGCUAGCGUUGUUCGGAAUUACUGGGCGUAAAGCGCACGUAGGCGGCUUGGUAAGUUAGAGGUGAAAGCCUGGAGCUCAACUCCAGAAUUGCCUUUAAGACUGCCGAGCUAGCAGGUGAGAGAGGUAAGUGGAAUUCCAAGUGUAGAGGUGAAAUUCGUAGAUAUUCGGAAGAACACCAGUGGCGAAGGCGGCUUACUGGCUCAUACUGGACGCUGAGGUGCGAAAGCGUGGGGAGCAAACAGGAUUAGAUACCCCCGUAGUCCCUGUCUCUUAUAC